rnacentral:rRNA from 1 species
AUUGAACGCUGGCGGCAGGCUUAACACAUGCAAGUCGAGCGAGCGGCGGACGGGUGCGUAAUGUCUGGGAAACUGCAUGAUGGAGGGGGAUAACUACUGGAAACGGUAGCUAACACCGCAUACCAUCAGAUGUGCCCAGAAGGGAUUAGCUGGUAGGUGGGGUAAUGGCUCACCUAGGCGACGAUCCCUUGCUGGUAUGAGAGGAUGAAGAGCAAAAGUGGAAAGUAGACACGGGCCAGACUCCUACGUGAGGCAGCAGUGGUGAAUAUUGCACAAGGGGCGCAAGCCGUAUGCAGCCAUGCCGCGUGUUUGAAGAAGGCCUUCGGGUUGUAAAGUACUUUCAGCGGGUAGGCGUUACCCGCAGAAGAAGCACCGGCUAACUCCGUGCCAGCAGCCGCGGUAAUUC